GCUUGUUCUCUCUUUCAAGACAACACUUCUUACUCUUCUUUUUCUCUUCCAGGGCGAUGGAGGGCGAUAACCUGCAUGAGACCACAGAUCUACGAGAGCCAUCUACCGGCAUGAGAUCAUGGAUCUAGAAGAACCGUUAGUGGCAAAGAGAGAUCAAGUGCGAAGAAGUCAUUUCUGCUAUACUCAACAAAUUUCAGCUCCAUAGAUCUACGGGAAUCACCAUCUGCAACCAUCUACCAGCGAUGACCUGCGUGAGACCAUAGAUCUACGAGAAUCGUCAACGACAAGGGCGAUGACAUAAAUGAGCUUUUUUUCUCGCUGGAUUUCUGCUCCGCGGCUGCGGAACGCCACAAUAAGAGGGUCUAAAUCUGUAUGAUGUGUUCUUUGCUCAGCUCAUUAACUCUUCAAGGGCACAGAGUGUUGAUAUAUACACAAUUUCAGCAUAUGUUGGACUUGCUAGAAGAUUACUGCAACUUUAGGGUACUAACACUUUCAUUUGAUUAUCUUCUGUUUCUGAGUCACGUACCCUGCUCUAUUCUCUAUGCAGUUUCUGAGUCACGUACCCUGCACUGAUCAAAGUCAUUGAAGUAGAAGGCUAUGGAUGCGGCAUUGAUCAAAACUAUUGAAGCAGUGUUAGAUUUGAAGGCUUGGCUUAUUUAGGUGCAAUGAGAAUAUUUAGUAUAUAUUUUUAUGACUUUUUUUUUGUGUGUAUGGUAAUAGUCUAUUGCUGGAAGUACUAUAGACAUGACCAUAAUUUGUGUUGUAAAUAACUUUGAUGUUUAAAUAUAUUUUCAAUUUGAAAUUUA